GACAUCUACAAUGAAAGGGAUCUCUUCAAGACUGAGGAGCCCGCCACAGAGGAGGAAGAGGAGUCUGCUGGUGAUGGAGAACGAACCUUGGAUGGAGAGCUAGACCUGCUAGAGCAGGACCCUCUGGUGCCACCUCCACCCUCACAGGCACCCCUCUCUGCUGAGCGGGUGGCUUUUCCCAAGGGCCUGCCCUGGGCCCCAAAGGUCAGACAGAAGGACAUUGAGCACUUCUUGGAGAUGAGCAGGAACAAGUUCAUCGGAUUCACCCUGGGGCAGGACACAGAUACAUUGGUUGGAUUACCCAGGCCCAUCCAUGAGAGUGUGAAGACCCUAAAGCAGCACAAGUAUAUCUCCAUCGCAGAUGUGCAGAUCAAGAAUGAAGAGGAGCUGGAGAAGUGCCCUAUGUCUUUGGUGAGCCAAGGAAGCCCUACACAGGAGGAGAGUAGAAGAAAACCUGUCUGCAGUGUUGUCACAGAGCAUGUGUGCAUGCAUUCAUUCAGCAUAUUAGGCUGUAACUGUGUUCCAGGCAAGACAAGGUCCCUACUUUCAUGAUAUAUUGAAGUUGGGGAAGAAAGAUAAAAAUAAA
rnacentral:sRNA from 1 species